GCCGAAGUGGCGGAACAGGCAGACGCACUAGACUCAAAAUCUAGCGAGCUCUGCGCUCGUGCGGGUUCGACUCCCGCCUUCGGCACCA
rnacentral:tRNA from 1 species